CCGAUCACUGAUUAUGUUGGUGGGGGGGUGAAGGCCUACCGAGGCGACGAUUAGUCGGGGGGCUGAGAGGACCAUCCGCCUCGCUGGGGAUGAAACACGGCCCCUACUCCUACGGGAGGCAGCGGUGGGGAAUUUUGGACGAUGGGGGCCACCCUGAUCCAACCCUGCCGGGGGGAUGAAGAACGCCUUCGGGUUGUAAAGUACUUUUGUUAGGGAAGAAAAGGGAAGUGCUAAUACCACUUUUUGCUGACCGUACCUAAAGAAUAAGCACCGGCUAACUACGUGCCAGCAGCCGCGGUAAUACGUAAGGUGCGAGCGUUAAUCGGAAUUACUGGGCGUAAAGCGAGCGCAGACGGUUAUUUAAGCANGAUGUGAAAUCCCCGGGCUUAACCUGGGAACUGCGUUCUGAACUGGAUAGCUUGAGUGUGUCCGA
rnacentral:rRNA from 1 species